CGCGGGGUGGAGCAGUUUGGUAGCUCGUCGGGCUCAUAACCCGAAGGUCGUUGGUUCAAAUCCAGCUCCCGCAACCA
rnacentral:tRNA from 2 species